UUUUAUGUUUUUUUUUUUUUUUUGUACACGAUUGUUUGUGUUUAUCGUUUAAAUUUGGGUUGUCAAAUCUCAACGGUUUUUUUUCAAGAUUUUUUGGAACUCGUUUAUAUAAGGAAAAGACCGUUUAAAUUUGGUAAUGAUCGUUUAUAUUUGAAACACGAUCGUUUAUAUUUGACCGUUCCAAAUCUAAAUGAUUUUUUAAAGAUUCUUUGUACAUGAUCGUUAAGAUUUGACUAUCCAAUAUCUCAACAAUUUUUUUUCACGAUUUUUUUAUAUUUGGAAUAACUAAAUAUCAAUUUGAAAACUAAAAAAUUACACAAGAAGAGAAAAUGAUGAUGGAAAGAAAAAAAAAUUCGUAGAAGAGAAAGAAAAGAAAGACGAUGAAAAUGAAAAGGCAAACCUGAAAUAUUUUAAAUGAAUUUGUAUUACAUAAUGAACCAUCUUAAUUUAUUAAUGCCUAUACAUAAUAUAUAUUGUAUUACAUACCGUUUCAAAAGUAACGAUGUUUUCUUUCAACACAAAUAUCAAAUAUAGUCAUUAUCCACAAAAUAUAUUAACAUGACAUUUUCAAAUAUAGUAUAAUAUACCAAAAUAAUUAUAAAAUAUAACAAAAUUUUAGAGAUUGUUAACCAAUGUCUAUUAGUGUCUAUCAUUGAUAGAUAUAAUAUUUUGUAAAUAUUUUUAAUAAUUUUGUUAUUUACAAUAAUGUUUGUAGCUUGGUUCCUGUUUUUUCUUCGGAGAAAAGAAAAAUGAAAACAAAAUUGGUAUUUUAGUAUCAAGCAACUGUCAUUCCCUUAGGAAAAUACAUUUCAUAUAGUUUCACGAAGGAUAUACUUUAUCAAUAAAGUUAAGUCUCUGUUAACUUUAAUAUUAACUUUAACUUUAAUAUUUUUAGUUUCAUAUUAGAUUGAUACAAAGAGUUCAUAUAGUCAAUUCGAGUUGGAUGAAGAGCAUAUGGUGCUUGCUGAUUUUUUGGGUUGCCACAUUUGAUUUUAUAAUGAAUUAAAUAUAUUUUGGGUUAGAUAAGUUUUUGUUGAUACUGCAUAUAUAUAGGUGUGAUAUUUUGUUGAUAUAUUUGGAUAUAUCUAGAUGAAUUAGUUUAGUUGAUACUUUUGUUGAUACACCUAUAGUUAGGCUACACCUAUAGUUAGGCUGUUUUGUUAGAAAAGUUAGGCUAACUAUACAUGUAUGUAUAUGGUUCCAUUGAUAUUAUAUAUGUUAAAAUAUUAUUAAAAGUUCUUUGAUGGAAAUUAAAGUUAGUUCAUUCAAUUGUUCAACAAGUGUGAUCUCUUGUAUUACUUAUAUACAUUCGGCUACAAAACAGGUGCACGAAACAUUAUGAAGAUAUUUUAAAAUAUAUAAUUUUUUUUUCAAAGAAAAACUUAACUUGCAAAACAUGUCAAGAGUACAUGCAAAAAAUGUCAAGAAAUCACAUGUACUUAACGUUUAUAAACUAUCAAGUAUAACACUACUUGACGCUUAAAAUCUGUCAAACAAAAUCACUCUUAUUCUUGACACUAGAUUACUUGACGAUUAAAAAGUGUCAAGUAAUCUCAUAUACUUGACGUCUUUUACCUGUCAAGUAAACUGGUUUUACUUGACGAUUAAAACCAGUCAAAUAUACCUUCUUUAUUCUUGACACUGGAUUACUUAACACUUUUAAAAGCGUCAAGUAAACCUUUACUUGACAGUUUUUAAGCGUCAACUAAGGCCAAUUUUGUAGUAAUUGCUGUCUAGAUUCACACCACAAUCUAGGUUACUAGUUUCCAUUAUUUCAUUGUUUUUUAGUAUACCAUCCAAUGCUUCUUAACAUCAACAUUUUCUUUUGAGAUUCUAGAAUUAUUUGUCUAACUCUUGCGCUAUAUUUGUAAUAAAUAUAUAUAACAGAAAUAUAGAGCAAAAUAUAUAUAUAUAUAUAUAUAUAUAUAUAUAUAUAUAUAUAAAUAAAUAUACUAAGUAGAAGGUAGUUUUCUAUAUUAUAUAUAUAUCUUUAUUAAUUUUUUUUUUAUUGAACACUAUUACUGUAUUACAUAGUGAUAUUGUUGUUUAUAUUAGAAAACAAAGUAGAGUGUAGUAUACCUCUCUCAUUUAUUUAAACCAAACUACAAGUAGGGUAGUGGGAGUGGGAGUGAGAGAGAUGUAGUGAUUUAUAUUUUUAGCAUCCGCAACUGGAUUGUUUGGGUCGAAUUUCGAAACCUUUAAAUUUCAACCCCGUCUUCCAUUGACUACUGUGAUUGUACACUCUAAACUCAUACUCCUUAUCACUGUUACAAUCAUGUUUGUCGACCUUGAAUUCCCCAAUCUUGAUCGUAAACCAAACAUCUCGUGGCUUACAUUGUAGGCUUUCUUUGGUCUCAAUUUUUUUUCCAUCUGGGAGGGUGAUUACAAAGAUAACAGGUUCUUGCCAUCCAGAGGCACAAGGUGUAACGCAAACAUGACAUAAUACUUCAUAUAGAACUCCAGAUGAUAGUGCGUAUUGCUUCAACUUUCCACUUAUAUCCAACCAACAUACUUUUAUAAGCUGUGCCACGUCAAUUUU
rnacentral:lncRNA from 1 species